AUUGAACGCUGGCGGCAGGCCUAACACAUGCAAGUCGAACGAGUGGCGGACGGGUGAGUAAUGUCGGGGAAACUGCCUGAUGGAGGGGGAUAACUACUGGAAACGGUAGCUAAUACCGCAUACCAUCAGAUGUGCCCCGAUGGGAUUAGCUUGUUGGUGGGGUGACGGCUCACCAAGGCGACGAUCCCUAGAUGGUCUGAGAGGAUGACCAGCCACACGGGAACGGAGACACGGUCCAUACGCCUACGGGAGGAAGCAGUGGGGAAGAUUGCACAAUGGGCGAAAGCCUGAUGCAGCCAUGCCGCGUGGAUGAAGAAGGCAUUCGGGUUGUAAAGUACUUUCAGCGGUGAGGCGUUACCCGCAGAAGAAGCACCGGCUAACUCCGUGCCAGCAGCCGCGGUAAUUC
rnacentral:rRNA from 1 species